CUUCCUUCUCCUGCCCUGACCUCGGCUCUUCUGAGUAUUCUGUUACUCUCCUUACUUUUCUUCACGUUAAGUCCGGCCACUUUAAGGACCGGUAAUACGUCUAGCUUGGGUUGCCUGUUAGUCCUAUAGUUAGUGUGUUGGGGAACCUAACCUUGACAUUACGACAGGGCCAUGAACCCUGCAAACUUGGGACAACAAAUGGCAGCCUGUGAAUGCAGAAUGGAGGGUUUGGAUCAUAGAAUGGAUCAGUUUGCUCAAGCACUGCAAACUAUCCUUACAAGAACAGCACAUCUCCAGCAAGAAGGAGAGGGGGCUGGCACUCAAAGCAC